rnacentral:rRNA from 1 species
AUUGAACGCUGGCGGCAUGCUUUACACAUGCAAGUCGAACGGUAACAGGCCGCAAGGUGCUGACGAGUGGCGAACGGGUGAGUAAUGCAUCGGAACGUGCCCAGUCGUGGGGGAUAACGCAGCGAAAGCUGCGCUAAUACCGCAUACGAUCUAUGGAUGAAAGCGGGGGACCGUAAGGCCUCGCGCGAUUGGAGCGGCCGAUGUCAGAUUAGGUAGUUGGUGGGGUAAAGGCUCACCAAGCCAACGAUCUGUAGCUGGUCUGAGAGGACGACCAGCCACACUGGGACUGAGACACGGCCCAGACUCCUACGGGAGGCAGCAGUGGGGAAUUUUGGACAAUGGGCGCAAGCCUGACCCAGCAAUGCCGCGUGCAGGAAGAAGGCCUUCGGGUUGUAAACUGCUUUUGUACGGAACGAAACGGUCCUGGUUAAUACCUGGGGCUAAUGACGGUACCGUAAGAAUAAGCACCGGCUAACUACGUGCCAGCCGCCGCGGUAAUAC